GAUGUGCUUUGAUCUUUUAUCGGUAAGAUAGUUUAGUAUAUGGGUCACUACGUUUCUAUGGGUUCUACUUUGACUCUCGAAGUCUUUCUUUUAGAAACAAUCGCUAAUAAUCGCUCUUAUGUGCUAGAAAUUCUGAUGAGACCUAGACUCUUUAGCUAAAGUAGUGGUGCCUCUGUUGUCAUAGUAUAAUGUUGUGCCAUCUGCUGACAUCACACC
rnacentral:lncRNA from 1 species